rnacentral:lncRNA from 1 species
AGUCUGAACUGGCAAUCACCUCUAGGGAAAAAGAACCCCGAAGGCCAACUCAUCUCACCAGAAUUCUGCUUGCUCUCUUGCUCUCUCUUCUCCUCUUUCUCUUGUCUUCCUUAUGUUAGGGAUUGCAUGUCUUCCCUCUGUACAAAAUACACAGACACAGACACACACACACACCCGUUUUCUGAAUGUGGCUGUCUCCUUCUCGUCUUGCAAGAUUCAUCUCACAUGCCUGUCCUCUUGCAGAGUGAAGCCCUCUCCACCACACCUAAAGCCGUCCCCCCACCCAGCUAUUCUCUCCCUGCUGGCUUCUUUCUAGGCACUUACCACAACUUGUGUUCAUUUCUUUGCUGGUAUGCCAAUCCACUCUCCUUCCCCACCAAAGCCCAAGCCCCGUUUGCCCACUGCUGGUCUGGUACCUAAAUCAGUGCUUGUGGACAGGUCAUCUCCCUUCAGGCACCUGUUGAACGUCAUAGAGACAUUUUCCCCCAGUGUCCACACUGUCCCAUCCUCCUAUAGCUGCGAACUGCGAACUUCCCCUGCGUUUCACCGGGGCCCAGGCCUCCCCACUGCAGACUGCACUCACUCCCCUGCUUGGCUUGCAGGAGGUGUGGGGCAUGACCAUGCGGUGGCGGUUGAGCAGGGUCGCGGGGGCUUCCUGAUGGCAGUUUUCUGGGGAAUGUGGGGCGUGACCACGCGGUGGCGGUUGAGCAGGGUCUCGGGGGCUUCCUGAUGGCAGUUUUCUGGGGAAACUGCUUGCUUGUCACCUGCUCUUCUAUUCCUUCCUGAGGCCCGGGAUGGACCUGGUGGGGAUUCAGCUCACAUCUUAGACUUUGUGGAGUAGCACCGUCUCCCCGCUUCAGGGCACCCAAGGCUUGGCUGUGCCUUGUGAGACAGUAAUGCUCUCCUGCUUAUCUGAGCCAGGAAAAUGCAGGGCCUCCUCCUUAGAGUCCAAUCUCCUAGUUGAACUCUGAGUGACGGAUAACGGAAGAUAAGAACUUUGUCAUCAUCUGUUCCGGCUGUAGAGUAGUAGCUCUCAAACAGGGACGUUUGACCAUGUCAUCUGGCACUUUCUGGAUGUAUUUCGUUGUCGUAACUUGGGGGCUGGGGGCUCCCACCAGCAUAUCACAUAUGGAGUCCAUUGAUGUGGUGAAACUAUAGUGCGCAGGACAGCCCUCUCCUGCAAAGAGCCCUCUAGCCCUAGAUGUCAGAGUGGCUGGGUGAGAAGCCCUGCUGUAGAGAAAUGGCCAUCUCCCACCUGCCUCCAGAAAGGUCGGUAUUUUCAGUGCUGCCUUUACAGUGGGCUGUUCACUUAGCAGUCAACACCGUUCCCUCCAGUGACCUCCUGGAGACAGGCAGUUACUCUUUUCUCUCGAAAGCCCCCAAAUUAGCACCAGGUCUUAGCAGAGAGCUGGUGCAUGAUGAAUGGCAGGCUCUCAUACCUUUAAACCUGUGAGUCUCUGCCACGAUUAUUCUUCCCCGCCGUCUGCACCCAGCCAACUCCUCGCUUUCAGCAAGAGCCCACCCUGAUGGGUCUCCAGUCCUAUUGUGGGUUAUUAGGUGCUGUUCCUCAGCAUUUCCAGAGCCAUCUGUAUGUUCUGCCAUUGUAGUCUUCAUCAUAGAGUUUGGGAAUUGUGUUUGCUCACCAAGUAAGCUAGGGACCAAAACAUACCACUAUUCUGUCACAUCAGUCCAGACGCGCACAUUGUGAUU